rnacentral:lncRNA from 1 species
GUGCUGUCCUCUCCAAUGUGCAAAGUGCCCAUCACUCAGUGGGAGGUACCUGGAGAUGAGCAAGAAGACGUUUAUGCAGCAGUGAUGGACAAAGUCUCCUAUGGAAGAAUGAACAACGGAGCAGGUGCCACAGAAUAAGUGCUCCAGUGGAAACACAAAGCACUAUGGGAGCACGAGAGAGCGUGAAGUUCCACAUUGGUUGGUAACAAGAAGCCACUGAGGAAUUGCAGGCAGAGGAGGACCUGAUUGGGCCUUUAUUUCAGGAUGACAGCUUGGUGCCAGUGUGGAGGAUGCUGUGAAGCAGGGAGAGAUUCCAAGGGAGUGAACACCUGUCUUCUACCCCACUGGGAGGCAAAAGCAUUAACCAGUCAUCCUUCUAUAUAAGACAGCACCAGGAGCCUCGGGGACCAUUUGCUCAGUCGUUCUUUUUAAUUUAAUUUUUAUUGAAGCAUAACCUACAUACAAAAAAGUGCACAAAUUAGAUGUUUCUAUGCCACCUGGAGGCACAGUGCUGUGGGGGACACAGAGGCAAGGAAGAUGCACCCUCCUACCCCCGCCCAACAAGCACUGGAGAUUUAGUGGAGAGCAGUGGAGAGGUGUGCAGUGUGGACGCCAGGAGUCCUUGGGGCCCGUGGGAGCUGGAUGUAGCAGGCAUUUCCGGCCUCAGGAUGGGAGGAGCUGUGAGAGACUUGUUGGCACCCAUGGGCUAAGGUCUCCGGGGGCACAGGAAACAGAGGAAGAAACACCGGGGCUAAGGACAUCACUCACUGUCUCUGUUGACCUCCGCAGUCUCCCGGACUGCCUCCCAACCCAUGUAGGGAUGCUUGACCAGGUCUUGAAAUAGAAUCAUCUGGAAAACUUCUGCCAUCUCAGAGCGAGACCAUGCCCCAGGCCAAUUAAACUAGAAUCUCUAGGGUCUAGCCCUGGAUAGCAGCAGUUUGAAAUAUUUCAGGUGAUUCUGUUGCACAGUCACAAGAGCUACAGUGCCUGAGCCUGGAAAUGAGAACAUCACGGCAGGCCGGAGGGCCUUUGCUUUCUUCCUUUUUCAACUAUGAGAGCGAGAUGCUUAUCCUACAGCACAAGCACCAGAAUGCAUUUAACCAUCAUGCGUCCACGAUGUGUACAUGAAGUGGUUCUUAUUUUAUUCCUUGACAAGUUUUUAUUUGGUUGCUCUUUUGACUCUUAUUCAAAAUUGUUUAUGUAAAUUAGUAAGAAGCUUUUAGCAGACAAUUUGGCAACAUGUAUCAAGAGAAUAAAACUGUUCAGAAUCAUUGGCCUAUUUAUUCCACUUUUGGAAGCUAUCCUACAGAAAUAACAUGAAUAUAGGGGGAAGCUAUAUGCGUUAGAUGUUCAUUGCAGCAUUAUUUAUGCUAACGAAAAGCUGGCAAAACCUAAAUGUCCAAUGAUACAGGAAUGUAUAAGUGAACUGUGGUACAUCUAUUUGGUAGAAUAUUAAGUAAUCGUUAAAAUUAUGGUUAUGAAGCCAAAGUAAUAACAUGGAAAAUGCUUAUGCCAUAAAGUUAAAUAAAAACGUAGAACACAAAAUUGUGCAGAUAUGCUAUAAUCACAACUACAUGCAGAGGAAACGAAAUAUAAAGGAAGUAGAAAGUAAAAAACAAAAUGCUAACAUAGAUUGUGUUAGAAUGAUAAGACUAAUUCUUUUUCCUACUUUCCAGAUUUUUAUAACAUGAUUACAUUAUUGCUUAGCUGGAAACAAACCAUAAAAACAAAAAAUGUCUGCCUUGUGCAUUUUUUCAUAUGUCUGUCAGACUGGAGACACCCUAAUGUUAAGAUCCCUACAAACAAUGUUAAGGCCACCAUGCCACACGUAGCACCUGAGGCUGCCUGCAAAAGGCCUGACAACAAUAGAUCAGAAGUCAGAGGGUCUGGCUUUUAACCCCAGCUUCAGCUUCACAGUGUGACCUUGAGCAAGUUUUUCCUUCUUUCUGAACCUCAGUUUCCUAAUCUGUGAAACAAUAGAUUGGACCAGGAGGGUCCUCAAGAACCUGCCGGCUCUGAAAUGUGAUGAUCAUGACAUGGAUGAUGAUGAAUAUACUAUUGAAUCCCAGUUGCGUUCAGAUCCAUCGAAUGGGAGACUAAGAGGCAGAAAAGUAUCUCCCCUAAAACGUGUGCAGGCAGGUUGCUCCUGCUUCUUAUUUCUACGUUCAGAAUUGCUAGCCUCCACCCUUUAAAUCCUGAAAAGCACAACUGAAUAAAUAUAAGGCAAAUCAUGCCCCCUGUUAAAUAGUUGGUCAUUUCUCUCCACAUCACUUGCAUGCAGUCCUGAUGACUUGUAAGUAUAAGUGCCUCUGAAAUACGCAGGAAAGUGUUUGGAGCCAAUCAGGAAACCCUGCUCCGCCCCCACCCCUGAUUUCUCAUCUUGAUAAAGUAAUUUUCCUCAACAGGCAGAGGGUGGGGAGUCAUAAAUCAGUAACAACACAGCUCCUUGGUGUCUGUGCUGCCCUCCGCUUGAGAGAGAUGCCUCUCUUAGAUGAUGUGGAUGCACCAGCCUGGGGCUAGAGAAUAACAGGG